UUUAGAAGAGUCUCUGAUAUUAUACAGUAUCCAUAUUUGGUUUGAUGAAUGUGCACUUACUCAUGAGUGACAAGCUAGCACAGGUGUACAGUAUGUCACCGGCACUGUAAUUAGACCCUUGAACAAGAUACUAAACCCGAAUUACUUCUGUAAAUUUCCAGCUGUAGAAGUGGCUACUAUGUCGAAAACUGAAGCCGUGCAAUUUCUUUAUAGAUAAGGGCAUCUGCUAGAUUACUGUGUUCAACCAGGACAAUUGAAUUUUAUCUGAUCGUUCAACUGAAAGUGUUAAACGUUUUAAAUGUAUAGUCAAAUUAAAAUAAAAGAAGCAUGAGCCAGCCAAGGACAUAGGCAACAGAGAAUUAUUCGACUGUUUUGUUCAAAUGUAAAAAUAAAUAAAUAAAAAACUAAAAUAAAUAAAUAAAAAUGUAUUAAAUGCCUAUAAUCUAUUGAGAUGUAUGCGCACUGCAUAGGAAUGGGGUUCAGACAGAGCCUGUAAUGUUUAUUUAUCAUGGGUUUAAACGGGAUCGAAGCUUGUCUGUGGUUGUACAUUCUAUUAUGCUUCUGCCAAGCCCAACACUCUGACAACAAGACGUCUGCUCACGUCUUCCAACGUCCAAGGAAGUGCCAGCUAUUUGGCACAGCUGUCUGCACUUGCUUUAAUUAGCUGGCAACCGUCCUCUGAGUUUUACAGCGAUUGAACAUUAAGAAUCGCUGCAGUAGCCUAUGCCUUGUCUAAAUGUUCUUCCGUGGUUUAAGAAGACGAAACAGGCACUUGAAGCGCAGCGCAAGUGGACCCCCUCACGCAUGGAUCGAAGCCGGGCUGGCCUGGCCAAUCAGGCGCUUGGAUGACCUCUUGCCCCCGCCCACCUCGUACACGGAGACCACAACGGAGCACUCGGUGACUUGGGGGCCGGGCAGGGCAAAGGUCAUGACCUCGUUGAAGACCGUCAUCUCCCACCUGGUCUUGUGGGUCGUCUUCUGGUGCCGGAGGUUGCACCUGUUGCAGACGACGGAUGUGCGAGCGUAUAGAGCUGCAACGGGAGACAGACCAGGUGGGAAUGUGUGGGUGAACAGGAAGUGGAACAUCCUUCUCCUCCUCCUCCUCCUCGGCCUCCUGCACGGUGGACGUGUUUGAGGUACCGGUACACCUGCCACGCCAGUAUACCUAAGGCCACAGCCAAUAGGAGGACAGAAAUCCCCAGGAUGCUGUACUUGAUGUCAUCGGAGAACGGCAUGCGGAUGUCGCCGAUGGACAGCUCCAGGGUGG